AUUGCAAAUAGCACUUCUAAUAAUUACGCUGGCAUGCUGCCAAUGGUGGAACGUGAACCCUUUCGGAGUAAGCGUGUGGGCUUCGUCUAACCACUCUUAAUGGCACGGAUCAGCGUAUGCUCCACGUUGUCCGGUGCUGAUCUACAUACCAACUUUGGAGACUUUUUUUAAAGACAGCUGACACAUCGGCAAGAGGAAUUAAUCUAAAAGACUUUCCUAAUUAUCAACUUUUAUACUGCUCUUCAAUAUAGGCUAUGUCAGCACUGUUCAAUAGGCAGUAAACAGCCCACUGCUGUGACUGCUUACCUUUGUAUAAGCUUUAAAAUGUUAUCUGAACUGAAAUGAACUGGCACCAGCACUGUUUACACCUCAGAUUCAGGUUCUAAUGCCAUGCACUGUUCACACCUCAGACUGAAGGAUGAGCACUGUCACUGUACAUUUUAGAGUGGUCCUUAUUCUUUGUUGCAGUCUCCAAAUUCCCCAGCUUCUUAUUCAAAACUGAAAGUGGCCACUGACCACGCUUCUCUCUCCAAUCAGAAACAAGUAAACGUCACCUAAAAAUUAUGUUCCACAUACAUCUAAAAUCAAAAUACACAUAGCCCAGCUGCAGAACUUUGAAUUUUACUAAGCACCCCCCCCCCCCAACAGAUCCUUUAAGAAGCUUUUUAUUGCAUUUUCCAGCAUUUAGUGUCACUCCACUCUAUUCAAGGACCUGUUGGAGUACUGUUGCUUAAGUGAAUAUACACUUUAGUGGAAAGUGUGGAGACCCUGAGACCUGCACACAAUGGUAUAAAACAAGCAGUGGGGCUACUGCAGUUUUUGAACCAAGUAUAUUUAAGCAUAAAGAUUUCACCAAUGAAGUAACUCACCAAAUUAGCCUAUGACUAAGUGUCCCAGUGACACUAAACGUGUUAGGCGUGAGAUGUUUAUAAUCUAAAUAAAACUUUCAUAUUUUUA